UGCGAAGGCAGCUUUCUGGAUCAUUACUGACACUGAGGAACGAAAGCAUGGGUAGCGAAGAGGAUUAGAUACCCUCGUAGUCCAUGCCGUAAACGAUGUGUGUUAGACGUUGGAAAUUUAUUUUCAGUGUCGCAGGGAAACCGAUAAACACACCGCCUGGGGAGUACGACCGCAAGGUUAAAACUCAAAUGAAUUGACGGGGACCCGCACAAGUAGUGGAGCAUGUGGUUUAAUUCGAAGAUACGCGCAGAACCUUACCAACACUUGACAUGUUCGUCGCGACUCUAAGAGAUUAGAGUUUUCGGUUCGGCCGGACGAAACACAGGUGCUGCAUGGCUGUCGUCAGCUCGUGUCGUGAGAUGUUGGGUUAAGUCCCGCAACGAGCGCAACCCUCACUUUUAGUUGCCAUCAUUAAGUUGGGCACUCUGAAAGAACUGCCAGUGAUAAGCUGGAGGAAGGUGGGGAUGACGUCAAGUCCUCAUGGCCCUUACGUGUUGGGCUACACACGUGCUACAAUGGCAUCUACAACAGGAAGCAAAACGGCAACGUUAAGCAAAUCCCGAAAAGAUGCCUCAGUUCGGAUUGCACUCUGCAACUCGAGUGCAUGAAGCUGGAAUUACUAGUAAUCGUGGAUCAGCGUGCCACGGUGAAUGCGUUCCCGGGUCUUGUACACACCGCCCGUCACACCAUGGGAGUUGGUUCUACCUUAAGGCAAGGUUUCAAACCCUUGACCACGGUAUAGUCAGCGACUGGGGUGAAGUCGUAACAAGGUAACCGUA
rnacentral:rRNA from 1 species